GUGCCAGCAGCCGCGGUAAGACGAACCGAGCGAACGUUGUUCGGAAUCACUGGGCUUAAAGGGCGCGUAGGCGGGUUUGCAAGUCCGGGGUGAAAUCCCACAGCUCAACUGUGGAACUGCCUCGGAUACUGUGAGUCUCGAGGGUGGCAGGGGUAUGCGGAACUAUCGGUGGAGCGGUGAAAUGCGUUGAUAUCGAUAGGAACUCCGGUGGCGAAGGCGGCAUACUGGUCCACUUCUGACGCUGAGGCGCGAAAGCCAGGGGAGCAAACGGGAUUAGAUACCCCCGUAGUCC
rnacentral:rRNA from 1 species